UGCCAGCUCUCCGAGUGGUAGGGAUGAUUAUUGGGCUUAAAGCGUCCGUAGCCGGCUUAGCAAGUUUCCUGUUAAAUUCAGCGACCUAAUCGUUGAGCCGCGGGAAAUACUACUAGGCUAGGAGGCGGGAGAGGUCAACGGUACUACCGGGGUAGGGGUGAAAUCCUAUAAUCCCGGGAGGACCACCAGUGGCGAAAGCUGUUGACUAGAACGCGCUCGACGGUGAGGGACGAAAGCUGGGGGAGCGAACCGGAUUAGAUACCCGGGUAGUCCCAGCUGUAAACGAUGCGAGCUAGGUGUUGGGAUGGCUACGUGCCAUUUCAGUGCCGCAGGGAAGCCAUUAAGCUCGCCGCCUGGGGAGUACGGCCGCAAGGCUGAAACUUAAGGAAUUGGCGGGGAGCACCACAAGGCGUGAAGCUUGCGGUUC
rnacentral:rRNA from 1 species